rnacentral:rRNA from 1 species
GAUGAACGCUGGCGGCGUGCCUAAUACAUGCAAGUUGUGCGGUAACAGAGAGAGCUUGCUCUCUGCAGACGAGCGGCGGACGGCAGAGUAACGCGUAGGAACAUACCCCAAACUGAGGGAUAACUGCUCGAAAGAGUAGCUAAUACCGCAUGUGGUCUUCGGAUUAAAGCUUCGGCGGUUUGGGAGUGGCCUGCGUCCGAUUAGCUAGUUGGUGAGGUAAUUGCUCACCAAGGCGACGAUCGGUAGCUGGUCUGAGAGGAUGAUCAGCCUGACUGGAACUGAGAACGGUCCAGACUCCUACGGGAGGCAGCAGUAGGGAAUUUUCUACAAUGGGCGAAAGCCUGAUGGGGCAACGCCGCGUGCAGGAUGAAUGCCUUCGGGUUGUAAACUGCUUUUCUGUGUGAAGAAUAUGACGGUAACACAGGAAUAAGGGUCGGCUAACUACGUGCCAGCCGCCGCCGUAA